CACUAGGCUACACUGCCGCCCCAGCUGUCUGGGUGGCUGGUCUCAGACGAUCCCACAGGUGAAGAAGCCGGGUGUGGAGGUCCUGGCCUGGCGUGGUUACACAUGGUCUGCGUUUGUGAGGCCGGUUGGAUGUACUGCCAAAUUCUCUAAAAUUAUGUUGGAGGUGGCUUAUGGUAGAGGAACAUCUGUGGCAUUUUUGUUCAGUGUAGAAUUGCGAUACUUAGGUGCCAAUACGAUACGUAUUGGGACAAUAUCGUAUCGUGAGGUCCCUGGCAAUUCCCAGCUCUGUUAUUGACUGGAGUCAUGAGCUGUGAAGUGCAUAAAGUGUUUGAACUCUUAAGACUUUUUUUUUUUUUUUUUUGGUAAUGAUGGAUUUAUACCAAAGGGACAGAAAAGCACGUUUUGUUAGCGUGGUCCAAAAUCUAUUAAACUAAGCUUCUUUCUCUCUCUGGAUUAGUUGCUUUCCUGAUUUAUUGUUUGAUAUACUUUACUGUACCAGCCUAUAUUAGAAAAUCCCCUCAAUUUCAGCAGCUGGACUCCAUAGCACUUUUAGCGCUUCUCAACCAAGUGCUUGGGAAUGGAAAUGGCUUUGUAUAAGAAUUGCAGCAGACAGCCCCACCCCUCCUUUUCCUGACUGUUUAAAGUGCUAUUGUAUUAGGAUGGAAACUCCUCAGUAAGUUCAGGUAAAGGAAGCGCCUUAUGAAAGGAGAGUGUUUUCCCAUGGGCUACCAUCUCUAGAAUGUGCGUCCCGAUUCAAGUCAAUGGGUCUCUAAUGGAUGGAGCCAGAGCUUUUUAAAAGUGACUGUAAUAUUGAUUAUAUUUCUAUGGUGCAGCUAGGCAAUCAUGGAUAGGGACAUGGUGCAGCAGCAUCAGAAUUUGGUCUGGUCUAGAAGCUGCUACUGAUGAAAUUGGAGAUCCUGUACAGCUGUGCUCUGUGGGCUUCUUUGUCAUUCAGGGUGUCCUCGUUGCAUCUCUUCUCGACCUAGUCAUGGGACUGGAGCAUUGGCUUGGCACAGGUCUGUGUAUGACGGGCAAUUGUAGUUGAUUGGAGUAGCAGGAGGGAAUCUAAAACCUACAGACAUAAUCAUGAG
ensembl:lncRNA